rnacentral:tRNA from 10 species
GGAGAGAUGGCCGAGUGGUCGAAGGCGCACGACUGGAAAUCGUGUGUACCCCCAAAAGGGGUACCGAGGGUUCAAAUCCCUCUCUCUCCGCCA